GUUUAGUUUUGUUUGAUUUUUGUUUUUAAAUCUUAAUGGUCGGGGCAUUUAAUAGCCGACUAAAUAGUAGUUUUUUUUUCAUUUUUGGAGGCCGCUCGGUGGCCUUUAAAGACUUACUACCACGUCAUUGUAACUCUGGUUGAUACUUGUAUCAUUAGUGCUGGACCAUGGUCGAUCCUAUGCACCUUUGAGGCAGGCGGGAUAUUUUUGUAGAUCUUGUACAGCUCAAACUAAUGGGAGUAGUUCCUGUACUUCUAUGUCUAGUCCCAUGUUGCAUGGUUGGAGAGGGUGUAAUAUCUUCUGUAGGUUUGAUGAAGUUUCACCCGUAUCGGACUUCUUCUCCUGAAUGAAAGCUUUAAGGCGACGAGUAUUUUUGUAUGCAAUGUGCCCUUAACGUGUCUCAAACUUAUCUGUAGCGUUUUCAACGCUCGUGUAGCGUGUAUAUUAUGUGCGUGCAGUUUACAGGUAUA
rnacentral:lncRNA from 1 species